UACAGGGGGUGCAAACGUUGCUCGGAAUUAUUGGGCGUAAAGCGCGCGUAGGCGGCUACUUAAGUCGGAUGUGAAAGCCCUUGGCUCAACUGAGGAAGUGCACCCGAAACUGAGUGGCUUGAGUACUAAAGAGGGUCGCGGAAUUCCCGGUGUAGAGGUGAAAUUCGUAGAUAUCGGGAGGAACACCGGUGGCGAAGGCGGCAUCCUGGACCGACACUGACGCUGAGGAGCGAAAGCCAGGGGAGCAAACGGG
rnacentral:rRNA from 1 species